UACAGAGGGUGCGAGCGUUAAUCGGAAUUACUGGGCGUAAAGCGCGCGUAGGUGGUUUUGUAAGUCGGGUGUGAAAGCCCCAGGCUUAACCUGGGAACUGCAUUCGAGACUGCAUAACUAGAGUAUGGGAGAGGGCAGUGGAAUUUCCGGUGUAGCGGUGAAAUGCGUAGAUAUCGGAAGGAACACCAGUGGCGAAGGCGGCUCACUGGUCCGGUACUGACGCUGAGGUGCGAAAAGCGUGGGGAGCAAACAGG
rnacentral:rRNA from 1 species